CGCACAUUGCGCCCCUUGGUAUUCCUUGGGGCAUGCCUGUUCGAGCGUCAUUUGUACCUUCAAGCAUUGCUUGGUGCUGGGUGUUUGUCUAGUCUUAGCACCUAGACUCGCCUUAAAAUUAUUGGCAGCCGGCAUAUUGGCCUAUGGAGCGCAGCACAAUUUGCGAUCUAAGCCUGUACACCAGCGUCCAUUAAGCUCUAUUUUCACGUUUGACCUCGAAUCAGGUAGGGAUACCCGCUGAACUUAA
rnacentral:misc_RNA from 1 species